GGAUUAGAUACCCUGGUAGUCCACGCCGUAAACGAUGGAAGCUAGCCGUCAGGUUGUUUACAAUUUGGUGGCGCAGCUAACGCAUUAAGCUUCCCGCCUGGGGAGUACGGUCGCAAGAUUAAAACUCAAAGGAAUUGACGGGGGCCCGCACAAGCGGUGGAGCAUGUGGUUUAAUUCGACGCAACGCGCAGAACCUUACCAGCCCUUGACAUCCUGGUCGCGAUUUCCGGAGACGGAUUUCUUCAGUUCGGCUGGACCAGUGACAGGUGCUGCAUGGCUGUCGUCAGCUCGUGUUG
rnacentral:rRNA from 1 species